UACGUAGGUCGCAAGCGUUGUCCGGAUUUACUGGGCGUAAAGAGCGCGCAGGCGGCUGGUCAAGUCCGAUGUGAAAUCUCCCGGCUCAACUGGGAAACAGCAUCGGAAACUGAUCGGCUUGAAGAUGGGAGAGGGUAGUGGAAUUCCCGGUGUAGUGGUGAAAUGCGUAGAUAUCGGGAGGAACACCGGUGGCGAAGGCGGGUCUCUGGGCCGAUACUGACGCUGAGGAGCGAAAGCGUGGGGAGCGAACAGG
rnacentral:rRNA from 1 species